rnacentral:rRNA from 1 species
UACGUAGGGUGCAAGCGUUGUCCGGAAUUAUUGGGCGUAAAGAGCUCGUAGGCGGUUUGUCGCGUCUGCUGUGAAAACCUAAGGCUCAACCUUGGGCUUGCAGUGGGUACGGGCAGACUAGAGUGCGGUAGGGGUGACUGGAAUUCCUGGUGUAGCGGUGGAAUGCGCAGAUAUCAGGAGGAACACCGAUGGCGAAGGCAGGUCACUGGGCCGCAACUGACGCUGGAGGAGCG